CACGUAGGGUGCAAGCGUUGUCCGGAAUUAUUGGGCGUAAAGGGCUCGUAGGCGGUCCGUCACGUCGGGAGUGAAAACUCGGGGCUCAACCCCGAGCCUGCUUUCGAUACGGGCGGACUAGAGGUAGGUAGGGGAGAACGGAAUUCCUGGUGUAGCGGUGGAAUGCGCAGAUAUCGGGAGGAACACCAAUGGCGAAGGCAGCUCGCUGGGACGGUACUGACGCUGAGACGCGAAAGCGUGGGGAGCAAACAGG
rnacentral:rRNA from 1 species